CACCGCCCGUCACAUCACGAAAGUGGGCCGUACUAGAAGCCGGUGUGCUAACCGCAAGGAGGGCAGCCCGUCCAAGGGUACAGCUCAUGAUUGGGGGUGAAGUCGUAACAAGGUACCC
rnacentral:rRNA from 1 species